UACGGGGGGGGGCAAGCGUUGUUCGGAAUUACUGGGCGUAAAGGGCUCGUAGGCGGCCAACUAAGUCAGACGUGAAAUCCCUCGGCUUAACCGGGGAACUGCGUCUGAUACUGGAUGGCUAGAGGUUGGGAGAGGGAUGCGGAAUUCCAGGUGUAGCGGUGAAAUGCGUAGAUAUCUGGAGGAACACCGGUGGCGAAGGCGGCAUCCUGGACCAAUAUUGACGCUGAGGAGCGAAAGCCAGGGGAGCAAACGGG
rnacentral:rRNA from 1 species